UACGUAGGGGGCUAGCGUUACCCGGAAUCACUGGGCGUAAAGGGAGCGUAGGUGGCCUGACAUGUCAACUGUGAAAACCCGGAGCUCAACUCCGGACUUGCAGUUGAAACUGCCAGGCUUGAGGACGGUAGAGGAAGACGGAACUGCCAGUGUAGGGGUAAAAUCCUUAGAUAUUGGCAGGAACGCCGGUGACGAAGGUGGUCUUCUGGGCCGGAUCUGACACUGAGGCUCGAAAGCCAGGGGAGCGAAC
rnacentral:rRNA from 2 species